rnacentral:rRNA from 1 species
UACGUAGGGUGCGAGCGUUGUCCGGAAUUAUUGGGCGUAAAGAGCUCGUAGGCGGUUUGUCGCGUCUGGUGUGAAAACCCGAGGCUCAACCUCGGGCCUGCAGUGGGUACUGGCUGACUAGAGUGCGGUAGGGGAGAAUGGAACUCCUGGUGUAGCGGUGGAAUGCGCAGAUAUCAGGAAGAACACCGAUGGCGAAGGCAGUUCUCUGGGCCGUAACUGACGCUGAGGAGCGAAAGCGUGGGGAGCGAACAGG